ensembl:lncRNA
CCCGCCCUCCCCGCUCCGGAGAAGGGAAGCCAGGGUGCAGAAACCAGCGAGCGACGCGCGCGCAGCUUCCCUGGUUCCUCCCUCGUUCUUCCUAGCGCUGUGAGCGCGGGCCCCGCCUCCUCAGCCAUCCAAUCGGCUCUCGGCCUCACCCCACCCUCCUCCCGCUUCCGCCGUCGCUACAAUUCAGUCUUCCACCCCCUCUGUGUCACGGGGACCAGUUGCUGUGUUUUAAGAUCCAGCGGAUGAUGAAAUUCACCUGAGACCACAUAGCCAGGGAAGGCCAAAAAGAAAGAAAGUGAAGUCACUCAGUCAUGUCCAACUCUGGGAGCCCGUGGACUGUCUCUUCUGUUCAUGAGAUUCUCCAGGCAAGAGUACUGGAGUGGAUUGCCGUUUACUUCUCCAGAGGAUCUUCCCAAUCCAGGGAUCAAACCCUGGUCUCCCACAUUGCAGGCAGAUGCUUUACCCUCUGACCCACCAGGGAAGUCCGGAGAAGGCCAAACUGAAUUUUGAAUCUAGUCAGUCUUGACCCCAGAGCCCUCCAGCCUGAAGGUAAUUUUUAGAGUUCAAUUGCAAUGGUGGAAUUAUGAGUCAAAAAGCAGACUAAAGAAAUGAAAGUAUUAGCAGUGAGAUAGCACUUUAGAGAAUUAUCUCAUUAACUAUCUGAGAUGGUAACAUGUUAAGAAGAAUAUCAGAGAAUUUAGUUGGCAGAAGACUUAAUUUUUCCUUGAAUCUUUCUGAAUAUUUUUAUCUCAACCACACCAUUUCCCAAACAUCUACAAACAAGCAGCAUAGAUCUAUUACAGCACAAGAAAUGAGUUUCAACAAUAAUCACAACAUUAGCAGGAGAGUCAACACAUUCUUAAGAAACUUUCAGUUCAUGGACAGAUAAGGUCCAGUGUGCCAAAGACACUGAUGUAAUGUUGGAAAAUGGUAUAAAAUAAUAUAAGCAUAAUUUCAAUAUCAAAUAAAUAAUGAAACAUGUCAGUUAAUGGCAGAACUACAUCCAACAUUAGGGCUCCCAUAGACUACCAGUCUGGAUCAGAAGCUCUCAUUCUAUCAUUAUUAUCUGAUGUGACUUGAUGCUUCAACUAGGUUUUUCUCAAGUUAUAUUCUUCAACACAGACCAAAAAAAAAAAAAAUUCUCACAGAAGCAACAUUUAAAUUAG